rnacentral:rRNA from 1 species
CUGGCGGCAGGCCUAACACAUGCAAGUCGAACGGUAACAGGAAGCAGCUUGCUUCUUGCUGACGAGUGGCGGACGGGUGAGUAAUGUCUGGGAAACUGCCUGAUGGAGGGGGAUAACUACUGGAAACGGUAGCUAAUACCGCAUAACGUCGCAAGACCAAAGAGGGGGACCUUCGGGCCUCUUGCCAUCGGAUGUGCCCAGAUGGGAUUAGCUUGUGGUGGGGUAACGGCUCACCAGGCGACGAUCCCUAGCUGGUCUGAGAGGAUGACCAGCCACACUGGAACUGAGACACGGUCCAGACUCCUACGGGAGGCAGCAGUGGGGAAUAUUGCACAAUGGGCGCAAGCCUGAUGCAGCCAUGCCGCGUGUAUGAAGAAGGCCUUCGGGUUGUAAAGUACUUUCAGCGGGGAGGAAGGGAGUAAAGUUAAUACCUUUGCUCAUUGACGUUACCCGCAGAAGAAGCACCGGCUAACUCCGUGCCAGCAGCCGCGGUAAUACGGAGGGUGCAAGCGUUAAUCGGAAUUACUGGGCGUAAAGCGCACGCAGGCGGUUUGUUAAGUCAGAUGUGAAAUCCCCGGGCUCAACCUGGGAACUGCAUCUGAUACUGGCAAGCUUGAGUCUCGUAGAGGGGGGUAGAAUUCCAGGUGUAGCGGUGAAAUGCGUAGAGAUCUGGAGGAAUACCGGUGGCGAAGGCGGCCCC